CACCGCCCGUCACAUCACGAAAGUCGGUUGCACUCGAAAUCGCCGAGCCAACCCGCAAGGGAGGCAGGCGCUGACGGUGUGGCCGGUGAUUGGGGUG
rnacentral:rRNA from 1 species